rnacentral:rRNA from 1 species
UACGUAGGGUGCAAGCGUUAAUCGGAAUUACUGGGCGUAAAGCGUGCGCAGGCGGUUUUGUAAGUCAGAUGUGAAAUCCCCGGGCUUAACCUGGGAACUGUCGUUUGAAACUACAAGGCUAGAGUGUGGCAGAGGGGGGUGGAAUUCCACGUGUAGCAGUGAAAUGCGUAGAGAUGUGGAGGAACACCGAUGGCGAAGGCAGCCCCCUGGGUUAACACUGACGCUCAGGCACGAAAGCGUGGGGAGCAAACAGG